GUUUCCUUUUAUGAGUAAUGGUUUUGACCCAGUCUCUGGAUUUUUCCCAUACAACCUGGGAAAACUCAGGGUGUGUCUCCUAUAUUCUUAUAAAUCCUUCUCCAUAUUUUCCAUCUCCAGCUUGGUUUUUUACCUGAUGACUGUGAGGCAUUUUAACAAUAUUUAUUACCUUCUGUCUCUGCAGCUUCUAAUAUCCUUGAGGCCGCCAAUACUUUACUCAGAGUAUCGUGUCUUACUCUUCCAAAGAUGGAAAGCCUUGUUGAGGCUGGAGUGAAGUUGUGAAAACUCAGCUCACUGCAACCUCCGCCUCCUGGGUUCAAGCGAUUCUCCUGCCUCCACCAGCCCAAGUAGCUGGGAUUACAGGCACCCACCACCACAUCCGACUAAUGAAUUCCUGACCACAAGUGAUCUGCCUGCCUCGGUGUCCCAAAGUGCUGGGAUUACAAGUGUGAACCACUGCACCUGGCCUGGAAAUGUUCUUAAGAUAAAUAAUGAAGUGUAAAAUAAAAUUCCUGUAGUUAAGAAUUCUCCA
rnacentral:lncRNA from 13 species